CUUAGUGGCGGACGGGUGAGUAACGCGUAGGAAUGUGUCCUGAGAUGGGGGACAACGCCGGGAAACUGGCGCUAAUACCGCAUAUGGCCUGAGGGUCAAAGCCGCGAGGCGUCUUGGGAGCAGCCUGCGUCCGAUUAGCUUGUUGGUGAGGUAAAGGCUUACCAAGGCUGCGAUCGGUAGCUGGUCUGAGAGGAUGAUCAGCCACACUGGAACUGAGACACGGUCCAGACUCCUACGGGAGGCAGCAGUGGGGAAUAUUGGACAAUGGGCGCAAGCCUGAUCCAGCAAUUCCGCGUGGGUGAAGAAGGUCUUCGGAUUGUAAAGCCCUUUCGACGGGGACGAUGAUGACGGUACCCGUAGAAGAAGCCCCGGCUAACUUCGUGCCAGCAGCCGCGGUAAUACGAAGGGGGCUAGCGUUGCUCGGAAUGACUGGGCGUAAAGGGCGCGUAGGCGG
rnacentral:rRNA from 1 species